AAACCAACCGGGAUUGCCUUAGUAACGGCGAGUGAAGCGGCAAAAGCUCAAAUUUGAAAUCUGGUACCUUCGGUGCCCGAGUUGUAAUUUGGAGAGGGCAACUUUGGGGCCGUUCCUUGUCUAUGUUCCUUGGAACAGGACGUCAUAGAGGGUGAGAAUCCCGUGUGGCGAGGAGUCCGGUUCUUUGUAAAGUGCCUUCGAAGAGUCGAGUUGUUUGGGAAUGCAGCUCUAAGUGGGUGGUAAAUUCCAACUAAAGCUAAAUAUUGGCGAGAGACCGAUAGCGAACAAGUACAGUGAUGGAAAGUUGAAAAGAACUUUGAAAAGAGAGUGAAAAAGUACGUGAAAUUGUUGAAAGGGAAGGGCAUUUGAUCAGACUUGGUGUUUUGUGCCCUCUGCUCCUUGUGGGUAGGGGAAUCUCGCAUUUCACUGGGCCAGCAACAGUUUUGGUGGCAGGAUAAAUCCAUAGGAAUGUAGCUUGCCUCGGUAAGUAUUAUAGCCUGUGGGAAUACUGCCAGCUGGGACUGAGGACUGCGACGUAAGUCAAGGAUGCUGGCAUAAUGGUUAUAUGCCGCCCGUCUUGAAACACGGACC
rnacentral:rRNA from 1 species